rnacentral:rRNA from 1 species
GAUGAACGCUGGCGGCGUGCCUAAUACAUGCAAGUCGAGCGAACAGACGAGGAGCUUGCUCCUCUGACGUUAGCGGCGGACGGGUGAGUAAUACGUGGAUAACCUACCUAUAAGACUGGGAUAACUUCGGGAAACCGGAGCUAAUACCGGAUAAUAUAUUGAACCGCAUGGUUCAAUAGUGAAAGACGGUUUUGCUGUCACUUAUAGAUGGAUCCGCGCCGCAUUAGCUAGUUGGUAAGGUAACGGCUUACCAAGGCAACGAUGCGUAGCCGACCUGAGAGGGUGAUCGGCCACAGUGGAACUGAGACACGGUCCAGACUCCUACGGGAGGCAGCAGUAGGGAAUCUGCCGCAAUGGGCGAAAGCUUGACGGAGCAACGCCGCGUGAGUGAUGAAGGUCUUCGGAUCGUAAAACUCUGUUAUUAGGGAAGAACAAAUGUGUAAGUAACUAUGCACGUCUUGACGGUACCAAAUCAGAAAGCCACGGCUAACUACG